AUUCGCGUCGCCUCCCCACCCCCACCCCACCUGCUCCUCCUCCCUGUGUCGCAACCCUCGUCCCUUCCUCUCCUCCCUCCCUCCCUCCCAUGGCGGAGUCGCCCGAGAACGCCGCCGCGGCGCCCGCGCCCGCGCCACCCGCCGCUCCCUCCCCGGCGCCGGCGCCGGCAAUGAAGUCGUCCCCGCCCACCAGGUUCGGGAUCCCGCUGCGGUACGACCUCGAUGCCAAGUGGGACGCCUGCCUCGACCUCUCCAUCCGCCGCGUCGCCUACUCCUCCCUCGGCGGCGCCUUCGGAGGCCUCAUUCUCUUCCGUAAGCCGCCAACCCCCUCCGCCUCACCUCUCCAUUCCCCUCGCUGCAUCACCAGAUCUGUUCGCCGCGCCUCCGUGGGUAUCUCAUGAUCUAGGGUUGGCGAAAAUAAUGCUCGUGUUCCAUCUCGAUUUGGCCUAAUCUGAUGAGGGAUUCCCUAGCUGCGUAGGUAGGGCGCGCUCCUCUAGCCGAAAACAUUUGGGAACGUUACUAAUGCGUAUGCCCUGCUUUAGGGUGCUGCAGAUUGAUUGUUUCCUGCGCGAUUGGGGCCCCAAAUUUGCGUCGAGUGCUCUGAGAUUCCGAUGAUUGUAAGGGAAAAAACGCUUAUGUUUUAUUUCCUGUAUGUUUGUAUUCUGCAGAGGCCAGAGUCUCAUUUCAAUUGAUUCGUCAGCCAGUGUAUGAAUAGCAGGACGUGCUUGAAUUGGGCUAGGCUAUGUGAUGGCUUUGACUAUUAGGCAGGGAAACUGUUUGUGAUUUUAUUGGUGUGAACAAUGCUUUCCUGGUGUUAGUCAUGCUCUCGGAAUGGUUAUGGUGAAUCAUGGUUCUGAAAAUAAUUCAGUCUUACCAUCAUUUCCUCGUGUCUGGUAUUUUUUUUAGAGAAAGAACAACGCUUUGUCUGAUUGGGAUUGUGGUCUGUGGGGGACUUAAAUACUGAUCUGUUUUUCAAAAUUACCGCGUGUUUCCUAUUAGAUCUGCACGAUGCUCAUUUUUAGAGUAACACGGCAAGAUGCAUAUGAUAUGUUUUUUUAUAUGAUUGAUAGUGAGCUGGCGGACCUACUGAUUCCUGAGUUCGGUCUUGAUGCUGUUUCAUUCCAAGUGUUAAGCAGGAAUUGAUAGGGUUGUGGUAUGAUUUUUAUUGAUCUUUGAUAGUGUGAAUUUGUGAAAUGCUGGUUUCGCUUAAAUCAUCAUCAAACUCGCCACCUUAGUUCUGUUCUAACAGUGACGCAAACUGCUUACACCAUAUAGGCUGCAGUAUGUGGAGUCCUAAGUCAGUUUCAUUCACGAACUUUAGGGGCUUGUCCAUUGAGGUCUUGUGUGAUGCUUGUUAUCAGCUAAUCUCAAACUGUUUCCAUGUAUCCUAUUCUGUUGAAUAACUUGGAGUCCUUUUAUUUGUAUCUAGAAUGAGUUUGAUUUCACAAGUUCUAUAAAGUAACCAAUGCAACUUGUUACUGUGUAUCUGAUGUUGGUAAGGGAACUAUUAAAAAAGUUCUUUGGCUAUGUGAAUUGUCUGUUUUCCACCUGAUAAUCCAUAAUUAUUAGUUUGCCCACCAAUUAUUCAUGCAUUUUUCUUGAAUGUUCUCAAAUUUUAUAAUCUUAUUUACUUGUUAAUUAUUCAGAGUUGGCAUAUGCUGAAAGAAACACUUUGAGAAGAACUCAAAUUUACACUUCGUGAAGUAACUGUCACUAAAUCUAUGGUCUAAUGCAUGUUUGUGACUUGUGUUAUUUUAUACAGGUAGCCCAACAACCCGCUGGGCAUCAGUUGCACUUGGAGCUGGUGUGGGGAUAGGGGCUGCGUUCACUGAAUGCUCAUACAUAUUCAAUGGUUCUCCUCCAAACUGGUCGGCCCCUGAAUGCUCAUACAUAUUCAAUGGUUCUCCUCCAAAGUGGGGAAAGCCAUGUGCUUGACGCCACCUGAUGCGUGCGUUUUGUGCUCCUAUCUGCUUGUCAAGCAGAAAUCUGCUGUUGUGAGAGGAGGACGACGAGGCGAGUGGCUGCUCCGACCCUGCUACUGCCCACACGAUAGAAGGAGAAUGAGAUGUUGAAGCGGCAGACGGAAUCCAUGACACCGAAGUGCAAUUGCAGCAGAUUAUCUCUAUUUUUCCUGUUCAUUUUUCUUAUUAUUGGAGUGAGAACAGGUAGAAUGAGGAACUGUGUGAUAGUAGAUACAACAACUGUAGUAAAAAGAAACUUAUGUUUGCAAUUGUUAAUGACAUACAUACUUGCAUGUUCUUUGAA